rnacentral:snRNA from 1 species
CAAUGUGAGAGUGAUGUGGGUGUGAACUGUGUCACCCUGUUGACCUCCAUGGUUGACUGUGCUAUCUGGCCGGCUAGACAGGUGUCUUCCUCCUCCCAUGCCGCUCCUAGUGCUCCUAGUGCUCCUGAGGCUGUGCUUGGGUUGAACUGGGAUGACCUGCCCUGUUUGAGGAGAUCUCGUCUAAAGGAAUGCACAAGAAGCAGUUCUAGUCCACCAGAAUCUCCUCAUGAGCUCUUGAUUAGAAACCCAUAAUGGUUCUUAAUAGAUUUUGUCCAUUUUCUUUCAUUUAUUGUGUGCCAAUGGCAGAGAUAAUAAGAAA